GCCCCAUCAGCCAGGUAACAUACAGAUCAAGCAAAAUCUUACAGUUUGCCCUCUAAGCCCACAUGUAAUAAUUUUGUUGAGCAGGAAAAUGUCUCAUUCAGCACCAAACAAGUAUUUUUGCCGUCUGGUCACCUGAUAAACUAGUUAGAUGAAGCUAGAUAAAGUUUUACGCUGUAGCCCAAAUCAAUGACAAACCAAUUGUACAGCUGAUACAAUUGUACAUCUCAUAACAGCUUCGGUGUGUCGUCAUCGUCUUGCUGUCCCCCAUCCGUUCUGUGAUUGGUUCCUUCGUUGAGGUGACAAUUGGGUCCAUGGAAUCCAGGCUGCCUAGCAGCGUGAAUAAAAUCUAGGCUAGGCAAAUCCGGCUAGGCAAGGCCAUUGAGUAAAAUUUGAUGGUUUUACCUUUCAGAUUGAUACCAUAACAUCAGUGUUGGGAAAGCUACUUGGAAAUUGUAGUGAAUGUCCAGACACAAUGCUUUGCGUUACAGCUAGAGGGAUGAAACUUUGCACACUCCAUGUGGGUCAUGUGCAGAAGGUCUGACUUGAAUUUCAGCCUCGUAGCUCCAUGCUACCACCCAAAACUCCACCUCUGAAGUGGGAGUGGUCAACUUUUUUUUAUGUUUUUCCUUCACAGUUUUUUUUGUGGGUGUCUCAGAGAUCCCACCUUUGGAACAGUUGUCAGGGGCCUCAAGGCUGUGUCGUGCCUCUUGGUCCCAUCCUUCUAGCACCUAGCGUUACCGCGCCAGAAGAGAAGUUCAAGAGGGAUCUCUCGUAUGCAGUGCUGCUCCUUUGCCUCGUCAAGAUGAAGAAUCGGUGCAGUGGUGAGGCUGGAGCACCCCUGGCUUUUGCCGUAUGGGUUGAAUUCAGCAGUGAGUCACCCACCUUCAAUUUCACAGAUGCUUUGGGGGUGAGAGGCCAUACGUUGACCCUGAUAUCAGUGGCACACAUCGCCGGCUGGCAAUUGGUCGUCUGAUAAAAGAACAUGCACUGAGUCAGGGUUUGUCUCGGCCUGAAUAUCUGCCACAACACAGGCCGCCUUGGUGGCCCUUUGCCUCAGUCAGUGACGGUACGUUAAUAUUGAAUAACCAGCUAUUACUGUUUCAACUGCAUGCACACAGCUGUUGCAACAUGAUUUGACUUUAACUUUGUUCCUCACUAUGGUCAUUUUGAUACACUUUGAUGCAUUAAAGGAAAAGGUGAAGGGCGUAACGCUUUCACUGCUGAAAAGCUGAGGCAGGUGGUACGCUCAUACAAUGCGUAUUGCAAUCUCCAGCAGUCUGUUGAGGCACCACCAUCACCCCCAUCACCAGCAACACCAGCAGCAGCAGAA